rnacentral:ncRNA from 1 species
UGAAAGCCAAUGGCGCGAAGCUACCAUCUGUUGGAUUAUGACUGAACGCCUCUAAGUCAGAAUCCUUGCUAGAACGCAACGAUAAUUACCUCCGGAGAAUCUUAGGCGAACAAGGAUAGGUCCUGCAGAAUUCAGGGGUUAAUGUGGGGUUUUAGACCACUUUUUAACCAGAAUAUUUCAAGAGGGGUGGUGGUAUUAACUGUUUUUGACUCUUAACUUGGAAACAGGCUUUUAUUAAAGUUUAAU